rnacentral:rRNA from 1 species
GACGAACGCUGGCGGCGUGCUUAACACAUGCAAGUCGAGCGGUAAGGCUCCUUCGGGAGUACACGAGCGGCGAACGGGUGAGUAACACGUGAGCAAUCUGCCCUUCACUUCGGGAUAACUCCGGGAAACCGGUGCUAAUACCGAAUACGACCACUUCAGGCAUCUGAUGGUGGUGGAAAGUUCCGGCGGUGAAGGAUGAGCUCGCGGCCUAUCAGCUUGUGGUGGGGUAACGGCCCACCAAGGCAACGACGGUAGCCGGCCUGAGAGGGCGGACGGACACACUGGGACUGAGACACGGCCCAGACUCCUACGGGAGGCAGCAGUGGGAAUUGUUCGCAAUGGGCGCAAGCCUGACGACGCAACGCCGCGUGGAGAUGAAGAAUUUCGGUCGUAAACUCCUUUGAUCGGGAAGAACAGCAUUUGGGUGAAUAGCCUGGAUGCCUGACGGUACCGAGAGAAG